CUCCCUACUUUAUGGCCUUUAUAUGUACAGUUGCUCACCAUAGAUCUGCUACUGAGAAUCAGAAAUCUAAAGGACUUGUUGCGCCAACAAGAAGACCAAUUUAUGAAAGAUGUAAGAGGAUUGAAUAUUUCCAUGUCCUGGCCAAACAAGGGCUAAAUCCAUUUAGAACUCUUUACCCCCUAUUCCGUACUCAUUCAAUCAUAUGAGUAAAAGAGUUUUCACUAAACCACCCUCCACCUUAUUGAAAUGAUUUAUCUCAUCUCUCCUUCAUAUGUAUAGUUGCACAUGGCUAGUGGAAAACUGAUAUCUAAAGGACUGGUUGGGCCAACUAGAAGCCUGAUCCAUUGAAGAUGUAAGAGGGUUGAAUCUUUUCCAUGUCCUAGCCCAAAGGAUUACAUCCAUAUAGGGGUUCCAGACCCCCGAUUCCGUACUUAUUCUGCUGUAUGAGAAUUUGCAUACAAUGAAACUUGAACCCCUUAUUCCCUACUCAUUCAGCCAUAUGAGUAAUUGCACGAUGAAACUAACUUCUGGUCCUACCCUUACCAAAAGCCACUUUUCUUAAAUUUUGAAUACAUAUAGAUAUAAAUCCUGAUGACCAAUGACUAGAACCUAUUUCAGAGACGACUCACCAAAAAAUUUCCAUUUGAGAAACCCAGGUAAUUGAAUACUUUCUAAAUUGCCAG
rnacentral:misc_RNA from 1 species